AUGUCGAGAAGGUCUGUCUCUUACACAAGAUUGAUGCUCCAGAAUUUGGUGCUAGCUUCUGAUUCCAAGCAUAUUGUUGAAGAUAUCCAGAAAUCAAGCCGAGGAGUUCAGGGAGCAAUAAUUAGUGAGAUUAGACAACGUCUUUUAUUGUUUAAUCGUAAUAUAACUUUUGAAGGCAGAUCCGUGAAUAAAGAUGUUGAUAGGUUAGCCAAGUUUGCUCAAUCCUUAGAUCAGGGACGCCAUGUCUGGUCUGGCACACCCCAUGACCCGUUUUAUAUCCCACAUCAUGUGGACUUUGAGUAA
rnacentral:rRNA from 1 species